CAGGUCCCUUAUCCUGCCUUCCUAAUACAGGAGCCAGGUCCAUCCCUCGGGGCAGCCUGUGUUGGCAGCCCAGCCAUUGCCUGAGUGGGUGGGGGAUAGGACAGCAGCCUGGGGAACACAGAUUGGUGGGUUUAAGUCCUGCCCACCCUGGGAGCAGCAGAGCCAAAGCAGCUUCACCCCUGCUCUGGGCCCUACCCCCCACCCCCACCCCGAAAAGCAGCUAGCAUGUACAGCAAUGGUUCCAUGUGCUGCCCCUCAUUCACAGGCACUGACCCCAAAGCCUCCACUGUCCACAGUUCUCCAUUAUUGAUCAAGGGGUGCUACAGGAGUGGUGUCUGCUGGCAAGGACAGCAUGUAGGAGAACCUCUGCUCUGACCUUCUCAGGGGGCUGCAGGGACAUGCCAACCACCUCCAGGAGCACAAUCAACCAUAGGGAUAAUUACUGGCUGGGCAUUUUAGUACUCAUUUAGGCCUGAGAGAGUUAUGAAAUGCACAGACCAGUCAGAAACUAAAAAUAACCCACUUUGCAAGCAGUGAAAGUAGUAACAAUCCCCCAUGUACAUGUUGUGUCAGGAGAUGAGGGAAGGUCAGUGUGUGAUAGUGACAGAGAUUUGCAUUGCCAAACUCCCUCCAUCCUCUUCUCUCUGUGUAGAGAUGGGGUACAGGAUUGGGGGGAGGAGGGACAUCCUGAUAUCAGCCCACUCCUCAGCAAGCAGGAGGCUUCCAAGGGGCUGCUCCAAGGCAAGAGGACAGGAACAGCAUGACAGUGGGUAGAGGGGCAACCGAAGUGCCAGCAAUUGAGAGGUUUCUGGCCAAACCAGUCAGAAUCCCCUGUCAGAGGCUUCAAGAGCUACCAGUAGAUCUCGAUCUACUGAUUGGUGACCACUGGUCUAACCCCAUACAAUGGCUAUAAAUCGAUACAGACUGGAAAGAAGACACGCAUUUUUAAGUGGGAGAGUAAUUAACCAUCAGAAAUAUUUACCAAGGAUUAUAGUGGAUUCUCCAUCACUGACAAGUUCAAGAGACUGCCACUUUAAGGAAUUGCCCCCUCUUCCUGCUGCUUUUCUCCUUCCAUCCUGCUGACUUUAUCAGCUGGCAAACACAUGUUAGCAAUCCAGUCAGUUGGCAGGGCUGUGAGUGCAGGGGACUCCCAGCUCACAGUGUGUGCCCCAUGGCCUGCAAGGCAACAUACAGCAACGUUGACAUCGUUGAACCAGGACUAGAGGGACUAUGGGACUUCGAGGCAAGGGGGAAGGCAGCCAGCAGUGAUGAGCAUGCUGAAGAGGAGAGCCAAUAUGAGGCUGUCGAUCUAGCUAUUGGAGGAAGGAGGAGGCAGCUGGCUCAAGCUCCAGUGUGGAAAUGGAGACGAGGCCAGUGGUGGUCUUUGGCCCGUGCGACUGUCCUGGGAGUCUCUGUGCUGCUGA